AUGUCAAGAGGGUCACAACUCCAGCUCGUUAGUCAGGAGCCUGUAGGAAGUUAUCAGAGACAUUGGGAGUCUCCAGAUGUUGCAGAUAUCAGCAAGACAUGGAAUCCACGCUGGAGGGAGCAUUGUGGUGACAUGGUGUGACAAUUCUGGAACUGGAACUAUAAAAGAUGCACAUAAGUCAAGUUAAUGUUUUCACGUAUUCAAAUUGGAUACUGAACUCUAGUCUUGGAUAACUUGUCAUGUGGCAAAAUUUUGACCUGAGAUUGUUUAAAGUAGGAUGUCUUUGUGAUUGCUUGCAUGUAUCUGUGUAAGGGAAUUCAACAAACUUAACAAAUCCACCUAUACUCUAAUUGGACAGGGAUCUAAUUUAGUAGGUAUAUCACCUAUACUGUAUUCCAUCCACAGUAUGGUAUUGCUGCAUAUUUAAUUACUGAAUAUAUUUCAGUCUGAAACUGGAACUCCUACCGUAUUUCAUUAAUUCAGUAAGUAGUCAUGAGAGCUUUGGUUUUUUCCUAAAGCUCUAAGUCAAACUUAAUUCAGUUAAGUUUGAUGUUUCUGGUGAAAGACAAUCUGCAAGUAAUUGCUACUUGAACUUGCUCACUGAGUUACCAUUAAUAUUUGAAGGAUUCUUGUUCUUUUAGUCACCAAGUGGGAUCAUCUGGUGUUUAAACUGAACACAUUAAAAACUUAACAGGGAAAUAUGUAUUACAGCUUUGACCCCACUGGUGGGACUUUGCCUUUGCCUUUGAUUGGCAACUACAGAGGCAGCUUUGGGAUUGCAUUGGUCUAAUGCUUAAGCAAAUCCACAGAUUUAACUUGUUCAAACUUGAUUAAUGUUGAGCAAAACCAGAAUGAGUAUACUACUCACAAUCAAACUGUUUGACUUUGAUAAUGGCAACCCUAGUGCUAACUUUUUAAUGAACUAGUUGCAUUGAUUGGAUUCAGCACAUUAAAUUUUUUUCAUUGUAUACUUCAAACUAUUUAAGAAUGUUGAAUUCAAGAAAUCAAUGUUAUGUAUUGUGUAUUUAUUGGUUUAAAAAAAACCUAAGAAAUCCCAUAAGUUUUAUGGGCCUAUUAAAUGUAAU
rnacentral:lncRNA from 1 species